rnacentral:misc_RNA from 1 species
GAGGAGCGCGCCGAAGCGCGAACCAAAAGCUCCGGCGGCAAGGCCCGCGCCGGGGAGGCCACGCUGGAGAUGAGGGGCGACGAGGGGACCGAGUUCUCCGGGUCCUGCACCGUCGGAGACGAAACCUCGGAGAUCGAGGGGGAGGCCCCCGAAAGCUUCGUCUACGAGCUCGACGGCGAGCGGCUGGAUUGCGAGAUCAACGCGGACGGCAACCUGGAGGUCGUCUUCGCCGCCGGCAACAACACCCGCUCCGUG